rnacentral:lncRNA from 7 species
CCUGCCGGGAGAGAUGCCGAAGGUGAGAAGGAAGGCUGGGAGGGGACGACUGAGAGCAUUUGGGAACUUGGGGAAGUCCUUUUGCAGGGCAGCAUUAUCUGUGAGUUCCCCCAUAAGAGGAAGGGACUGCCAUGGUGUUGGAGAAGGAAGGAUUUCCUCAUGGUAACAUUACUGAUCGCACGUGGUUGCCUGGAGGAUGAGGGAUUGCUGUGGGGUUGGACUGAAUGCUGUGCCUGAUGCAAGGAGGCAUCAUCCAAAUGAAUAACAGUCCUGGCCCCCUGCAGCAAACACCCACCCCAAAUCCAUUUUCCCUUAAUCCACAGGCAGCAGCACGUUCCCAGCCAGCAGGUGCAAGCCACCGACUACGGAGAAGUCCAGUACUCAACCAUUGCCCACUUUCGAAGGGACAAGCCUCCCGUGAAGCAGAUGACCCGCAGCAGAGAUGCAUAGGCUUCAGCAUGCCAAGGCAACCAGCACUGCGUCACGACCAUUGUGUUUUCUUGCAGAG